CGCGUAGGCGGCCUGUUAAGUCUGGAGUGAAAGUCCCGCUUUCAAGGUGGGAAUUGCUUUGGAUACUGAUGGGCUUGAGUGCAGGAGAGGAAAGCGGAAUUACCGGUGUAGCGGUGAAAUGCGUAGAGAUCGGUAGGAACACCAGUGGCGAAGGCGGCUUUCUGGACUGAAACUGACGCUGAGGCGCGAAAGCGUGGGGAGCAAACA
rnacentral:rRNA from 1 species